rnacentral:rRNA from 4 species
AAAACGACUCUCGGCAACGGAUAUCUCGGCUCUCGCAUCGAUGAAGAACGUAGCGAAAUGCGAUACUUGGUGUGAAUUGCAGAAUCCCGUGAACCAUCGAGUCUUUGAACGCAAGUUGCGCCCCAAGCCUUCUGGCCGAGGGCACGUCUGCCUGGGUGUCAC